AAUACAGUUUGUGAUGCCUAAAGGAUUUGAAGCCCUGAUUAUGUGUUUACAGAAAAGAAAAGAAAAGAAGAGCCAGGAGGAUAGGUUGUUCAGUUUACUACCGGAGACCCGGCUGUGACAGACCACCAAGAAAACAAAAUUUUCAAAGAGAGUAAAGAAGACCUUCUGCAGCAUCUGCAAGUCUCCCUUUUUUCUUCAGAGUUACGUAGGAUAACUUAGCCAGAACUUAUUGAUGUCUGCAUGUUCAGUGGACUCGGGAAUGGACUGGGAGAUGCGGAAACGUACUCUUCGGAAGAAACAGAAGAGGAGGCAUUUCAAAGAUCCUGCAGGUGACCAAGGUGAUGAUCUGACAGAAUAAAUAAAUUGUAGAAAGUGCUAAGAUUGCUCGGGCAUUUGCUGUGGUAUCACUCCCACAUGAGGAACCUUCAUCGCCAUCUUUCUUCAAGUGUGUUCUCUCCUGUGGGUUCAUUAUUUUUCAGAGGAUGAGUCUUUCUGCCCUGCAGGGAUCUAUCUAUCAUUGCUGACUCUCUGCAUCUUCUCCACAUGGAAGAAGUAAUUGGAUUGUAUUUUCUGCACAUGACCAAGACAGCAGGGAAACACAGAGCUGUAAGCCAGAGAAGAAAGCUGUCUAGAGGGCUGGGCCUGGGCCUCACCAGCAUGCCUAAUAAUGUCAUCAGGACUAAGGACAUGAGGAGGAGGAUGAGGUUUCCAGCACCCAGCAGUGAAACCAUGCCAGUACAGGGAUCAAAACCAAAAGUGACAGGACCUCAGACAAAGGAGGAGUUGUUCAGGUCUCCACACAGGUGUCUGAUAACAGUUCCACCAAGGUGGAUUUGAAACUGUGUCACAACUCAGCCUCUUCUUCCCAGUGCCUGUGGAGGCAGCUUCUAGCAUGACACAUCCCAUCUUUGACUCAUCAGAAUAUGAAACUGCUUGCACUGUUCUCUGAAGGGUCUAUUCCUGGCACUUUUAGGUACUAGAAGACAUGCUUCAAUUCAGCUAGAAAAUAGGAACUUAAGGAAAGAGCUUGAAAGUCUGUGGCAAGCCUAUAAGGACUGAUGUGUGACAUGAUUGUAAUGUCCAAUUCUAGACUGAAAAUCAAUGAAUAGACAAAGAUUCAUAUUUCUAAGAAAACAGAGACAUAAAUCUACAGCCAUUUUGGCAAACGAUGUCCAGAUUUCUCCUGGGGAACAUGCAAAGAAGGCCCACUCCUACAGAAAGGCUGUCCCAGGAUUAUGUCACCUACAUGUAUCAUGAAGGAAUUUUCUUCUUGGCUGCUCAGAGGAGGAUUUUAAAUGUUUGCCUCCCAUUUACUCCACAACAUUUCAUUGCUGACUAACUUGUAGUUCUUCACACCAUUUUAAUUUGAUGGCAUGUAUGGUAAUGCAGAGACCUUUCUUUCCUAAGGGAAAUUAAGAAAAUAAUUCAUUCUUUCACUCAGUAACUCAGCUGAAUUAAAUUUGGGUUCAUUCUUUUGGGAAAGGUGUUUACCUAGUUCUGUCAAAUUAAAAUAUGAAAGGAAAAAUGUCAAUAAUACUGACCAUCUCAUCAUCACAAUUCUUAGUUCUUUCAUGCCAUGCUUCCUGCAUGGAGAAUUUUAUUUUGCAGAGGAAAAAACUAACAAAAAAUCGUAGAAGGCUUAAGUCACAUCUGAUAUUUUGGCAUAUUACUAAAUGCUAACAUACACAUAUGUGCAUGAAACAAAACUCCAGCAACACAGUUUUCAGUUUGAGUUUGUUUUUUGGUUUCGUUUAUAAGAUUUUAUUUUUAACUUUUUUUUUUACAUUUACUUCAAUGUGUUUUUGCCAGAUGCAUUGUAUACACAGACAAAGGUGUAAUAACAGGACAGGAGUGUCAGCUGCAUUCUGUGUCCCUAAGAGACAGAGAAAAAACAUUAUUUGGAAAUUUCUAUGGCACAGGGCCCUGCUGGCAGCUGUUGAUCUUGUUCCUAUCCCUUCCAUGUGGUUGUUAACACAAGGACACAUGAGGGAAUGGCUGAGGACUGGAGAGGCCAUGACCAAAGUGAGUAUUGAUUCUCCUUUUCCUCGGUGUGGCUGCCUGUGUAGAAAACAUUGAUCAGUAGUGCAGCCUGAGAGAAGGCUGAAUGAAUUCAUGGAAGGGAAAGCCCUCUGGGAACUACUGAAUACACAGAAAAUCAGCCUGGCUCGGGAUGUGUCUGAGCUGCAAGUACUUUGCAGCAGAGAGGAGAGGCUACUUGCGUGUCUCUGGUCUCACGCUCCUUGUUCCAACAUCAGCUUUUGGGCGUUAGCAUUAGCUGCUCUUAUUUCAUUGUGCUUUUAUUUACUGUUGGCAGGAGAGGAGGACGGGAAGCUGCCCAGAGUGCUGGCUGCAGCCACCAAGAGGCCUCUCUUUCCCCAGGGCUGGCUGCAGCACAGGAUUGACCAGCACUGCAGCUGCCCAGUAAAUGUGUUUCAUAUCCAGAGCAAAUUUUCCAGAGUGCCUAAAUGGCUUGAAACUCUAGGCUCUGUUGGCCAAGAUCAAGUAACUUGCACAUAUUGGGAAACUGCUUCCAGUUAGCUUUUUCUCUUUUUGUCUCUCUCCCUGUGUUUGUGCAUUUUCAAUUAUGUAGAAAUGUAUCAUUUAGCUCCACUUCUUUUUAUUUAAGCAGACAAAGAACAGGGACCUUCAAAACUGCAGAAUACCUUGAAAUCUUUUAACUUCAACCAUUCUGUCUCUGACAGAAAAACAUGUAUUUCCUUUUUAAUUCUCAGUCCCGUUAACUGGUACUGGUAACUUUGUACCCACAAGCACAGCACACUAGAUGGAUAUACUGCAGCAAAACAAGUUACAUGUUGUAUUUAGAAACAAGUACCUUUAAAAAAUUUACCUGUCUGCCAAGACUUGGAAAAAUGAGAAAGUAAGUUCAGCUCAGUACACAGACCAGUUCCUCACUGCCUGACUCUCCUGGCUGCUGGGAAUGCCUUUCAUAUCAGGUAACACAUGCUGAACAAGAGCCAAAAAGCCCUUCAUUGCUUGUAAAAAUGAAGCAAGUUCCUUAUUGGAAAAAAGCCCUUCUCAGAGGUAUUACAGCUGCAGAUGAUGCUGUAGCCAUGCUUCUCAGCCAUCAGGCAGAGUGCCUGCCAGGGACCAGCUUUCAGCAGUGUUGGUAGGUAAGAUGUAUAACAGGGACAAGUCCAGUUGUCUUGUGCCAGAGCAUCCUGCCUUUCUUUAUACCUUCAUUGCCCAAACAACACACACAAACAGCAAACAUUUACGUGAAACAAGCAGUAAUUAAAUGCACCUUUUUACCUGUUCACAGUCUGCUGUCAGGAGAGCCCCUGAGUCACCUUGCACUGUUUUGACCUCCAGUUCUCUCCUGACUCAUCUACAGCUCUGCUGUUUCACAUUGGGAGAUCUUUCAGUUUUGGCUUUGCCCUGGCACUAGCAUCUGGUGCUGUUCUCUCCUGGUGUGACUGCAACUGGCUGCCCCUUCCUGAGGAAAAGAGAUGAUUUUUUGAGGCUGUGGUGAUCUGGUGUGGUAAGUGCUGUACAGUCUCAGAUAGGAGGUCUCGACUAGCAGAGUCUCCUGUCUGUCUAAGACCUUCCAAGCUGAAUGCCUUUGUAAGCUCCUCCUGGGCUUGAGAGCGGUGUCAGGUGCUGGGUCUCUUUCACACUGCAGGGUUUGUAACAUCUGGCCAAUGCCAUGGGUUAUAACAGUAAAUGACACCACUUACAGCCAACAUCUCCAGGGAUUUCUCUGAGUUCAAUCUCUAAUCUCUCAGGCUUCGGCACCCCGUAUCUGUCCAUCAUGCUUUAGAAAUGACAAUCCUAGUGAUUUUGACAUUGAGGAUUCAUGUGAAGCUGGUGCAGAGGCUGGUAAGAGGCUGCCCUAACCCUCUGGGCCAGGGAGUGUCACAUUCUCUCUGCAUUUAAAUGGAAAGUGGAGAGGCUACGAAGGGUCAGACACACAUCUCUAUGUUCCCACUUUCUUCUGUGUCAUGGGACUGUGUGCACAACUGGCGAUUACAGAUGUAGCCCUGAAACUCACACCAAGCUUCUGACCUGUUCUAUGCAACACAUCAUGUCCAGCAUGACUGUAAUGUCUUCUGUUUUACUCACAUCCAGCUCUGUCUCCUGCUUUUUUUAACUCCUCUCCCAGGAAUUUCUCUUAGGCAGAGUUUUUCUUCCAUUAUUCAAACUCAAAUCACAUUUCACCACUGUUUUGCUCCACAUCAAAGCCUGUAACCUCACCCCCUUUGCACUUAGGGCUCCCAAAAGCCUAGAAAGCUGCUCUGAGGAAGCUGGUCUCUGUGGAGCUGGGCAAUGAGCUGGGGUGGCUGUACACAUUCCUGUUAUUGAAAGCAAACAGACCCAUCCAGGCUGUUUGAUUUUUUUUCCUCCCAGGGAUUUGGCUGGGCUAUGUCCCUGCCAGCUCACUGUUUUCCCUGUCUGACAGUGUUUGCUGUGGGCAGCCAUGCUUGGCCAGAGGAUAUGCUCCAUGGCUCUGCUCAGGCAAGCCUGUCUCCCACAUGUUCAACGUAUGUUGUAUAAACAAUGCCAGACCUUUGCUGGAGCUACUGGGUGGAUGCUUAAGAGAAAUGCUGGGAGUCAGCACAGGCACAUCCCUCAGUGCCCACUGUGGGCAGUAAGUUACAGUGAUUGCCAGAGCCUCCCUGCUGGGCUGUAAAGGUUUCGCAAACAGCCCUUCUGUGUGGUGCUCUCUGCAGCAUGCCCAGCUCGCUGUAUUCCAGAGGCAUUGCUGGGCACUACCCUCUCCUCACCUGAGAGCUUUGGGGGCCCAGUGACAUGUGUCAUACUUGUCUGAGCACUCAGCAGUGACCUCUUUGUGAUGCUGGCUGAUCUCUCAAGGGCUGGAUCUGUUUCUCUCAAUAAUUUCACUUGCACUCUGGAAUCUCACAAGCAGCUCUUGUUUUUAAUUAUGGGCUCCAUAAUGUCUCCAAAUAUAUGCAUAGUGUCAGAGAUCUUACAUCUGAAACAUAAGGCUCAAUUGCCCCAUAUUUUUAUUUUCGAUUUUGAGCACAAUUACUGAGUCCCUCUAGAGUCUUAUUCUGUUCAGGCCAAGUUUUCAAAUAACUUUCUUGAUGGUUCAAUUGUUCCAAGUGUUAUUUGAAAAUAAUAAGUAACUCUCACGAGUUACUUCUUGUCCUUUUUGCUCAGUGAGAGUGAAAAGUUUUACUUCGGUGUUUUCUCACUCUCUUUCACAGCCAAGUCCCUUCUGGCAGUUUGCCUGCUUCAUUUCCAGGCUGUCUUUCUGUGUCUACUGCACUGGCUGAUGACAUAAGCUCUGUCCCACCUCUCAGAAAGGGACAGUUUAUCUCCAGCUGCAGUUCAUCCCUUUGGAGUAGCACUGCUACUGAUGAUAAUAAGAGAGAAGUCCUGUUAGAGCCUGUAGCAAACAUCCCUCAGGUAGCUGCAGCAAAUGAGGAAAUAUUUAAAGGUGAGCUAUGUCCUAAUAUCAUCUUCUGGAAAGGACUUUAUGUUUCAUAUAUUUCAUGUUAUUGCUCUGAGAGACUAAACGAGGGAGCACACUACCAACUGAAGUGCUUGUGGAAAUUAAAUCCACAUUUAAAUGAAUUUGAAACUUUUAAUGCAAAAUUGAGCACUUGGAAAUUUUGCAUCAACUCCCACUUAAUUAAAAUUAAUAAGGUUUCAGAGAGUUCUAGUUGGGAUGGAUGAGGAAGGAAUUUGGCCUUAAAUGUGUUAUUAAAAUACAAUUACAUUGGAAGGAAGUAAUUACUGAGGUUGUACCUCAAAAGCAUACCUAAUGGGCUAUCAGGAGAAAAGGUUUAUGCGUUUGGUUCACCAGCUAUAUAAGAUAUAAAAGGAUGUAGUCACUGAAAGAAAGAGAUACUAGCAAGACCAUUUAGGUAGAUAGUAGCAGCUCUUUUAUGGUCAAAUCACUCUGGCUACAUUUAGCAAGGGGACUGCUUCAUCUUAGUUUGGGGUGUGCAAGCACCCCCACAAGUUUUCCUUCUGACACAUUUAGUUGUUUCCCAGCCCUCUCACGGGGUUGUGAGGGAAGCAUUGUUCAGCCAGCGUCAGACAUCUCUGGAUGAGGGAAAUGUUAGCACUGAAAGAACUCAGCUGUCUGAUUCUAGGAACUGUUUGACAAAAGCAUACUCAAAGUGAAGGGCCUAAUCUAACCCUGGUUAAAAUCAGGGAACACUUGUCUUGCUCCCUGCACCUGUCUGCAUGAAGCCCUGAGCACAGAACCAGAAUUGUGGUGUCAGUUAUGCACAAACCUACACUUGGUUUUCUUUUUACAUUAUUGCCCUGGCACACCUAUGAAAAAUGGUUUAAUAAAUAUGACAUUCCACAACAUGCACAAACCAGACAGAUUUGGGAGGUAAAGUCGAAGUGUGAGCAUUAAAACUGAAGCCACUUUAUGCUCUGUGGAGACAGAACAAUCCAUCAUUCAUUUGAUUGUUUUUGUUUUGUUUGGCUUUUUUUCUUUUUUUUGGGUAAUGCGAUAGGCUUUGGUUUUAAAGUCAGUGUUGAGGUUUCUGUUGACUGUCUUGGAGUUUGGAUUAGGUUCAUGGAAAUAAAUGGAUUAUACUUUAUAAUAAAUUAUGUAGGUAGUCAAAGAUGCACAGUUCACAGUCCCAUUUGGAUCAGCUCCUUUUCAAAGGUUCAGAGUUAUGGAUUACAUUGAAUGGCCUGGAACACCUGGGUAAGUUUAAAUCACAUCAAGAUGAAUUGAUUGUAAGUUUUUGAUUUAACCUUGGUUCUUCACAUAACUUUCUGGGGUUUUUAACUGUGAUUUUCACAAGUACAGUAUGUUUUGUAAAAGGAGUGUGGGAGAGGGAAUGUGCGUGUCUCGGCUGUGCAGUGUCCCAUUUGAUACAGUAUCAAACACAGUGUAAGUGGCCCGAUGUUUUAAUCAACAGAUGCAUGUUCUUGGCAAGGCAGUGAAUUUAGCACUUACUGAAAUGCACUCUGCUGAACUGUUGACAUUCACUUCUUAGUCAACCUUUUAUUGGUAAAGAGAAACAUACACUUUGUAUUGAGGAUUUAGCUCAGUAAAAUAAAAUUCUGUGACAGUAAUUUCUCUCUACCCUUAAAUUCCCUGCAGCAAUGCUUGUUACAUGGAUAAGAAACAUGUAGAGCUUGGCUUAGCCUUUUUCACACCAAAACCAGAUGUGUUCAGUAAUAGUCAACCAGGAUAUUUUUCAAGCUUUUUUUUCCCCAUUUUUAAUGCAAUACUGAAGAUGUGGGAUUGCCAGUGUUGUGAUACUUCAUCAUCUAGGAUGGUUUCGACAUUAGAACUCCUGAAGAAGCCUGAGAAGGGGUAUUUCAUGUACAACAUUAUCAGGACUUGUCAACAGGGCAGGACUGAGUGAAGUCAGCCUUCUGUGGCUAUAAUAGCACAAGAGCUUCCUUCCCUUAAAUAGUUUCUUUCUUUUCCCCUAGGGUCUUGUAGCAACUCACACCUGAAAAAGCAGCCUUUAUGUCUUCCUUAGGCUAAUUAAAUAUGGAUUCAAGCAGAGGAGCCAUAUUGCUAAGUGUCCGUUCGUUAACUUGUUGGUCUCUGAAGAUUCUCACAUUUCAGUCGUGACCGACGUAAGUGUCAGCAGAGUUCUCAGCCAUGGAAACCACAUCUGGAGAAAUCCCACCUCUCAAAAUAACAAAACUCUUAAGGAUUUACAUGGGGUGAUAUUAACUACCAGGAUCAAAUAAAUGUGGCGAAAACAUACUCCCAAUCACAAAGGUCACUGAAAAGCCACACAGGUUUGGCUUAUGCUGAGUUUUGCCUUUUUGUACCCAUAUGAAACAUUUUUUUAAUGCUUCCAGAGUGGGUGGAGAAAUUUAUCAGGGAAACUAAAGGUCUGAAGUACACAGCUGAGACAGGCAAAGACUAUUGCUGUGUAACUAGAAUGUAUGAGGGGUUUAUUUUCGAGAAUAUCAGGAUUUGGCAUCAGUUUUGCGUAGGGACAUGGGAUAAUGCUUACUUCCUUUUUUCUUUUUUCUUUUACUCAUUAAAGGCAAAACACAAAUCUGUGCAUUUUAAAGCAGCUUUCUGAAAUUUCGUGGCCUUAUAAUUGCAAUUUAUCAGACUAAAAACUAAAUCUAAAAUUAGACAUAAAAAUCACAAUAUUACCAGUCCUGGAUUUAAGGCUUAUACUGCUGUGAAUUUCUACAAAAAUAUCUAAGAAUCAAUUUAAAUGCUAAUGGACUUGUUUGUCAUAAAACUAGGCAUUAGUCAUACUCAAUAGAUGCUUCAGAGCCGCAGUAUUGGUGUCUCCUUCACUGGACUUCACUUGUGACAUUAAAUUUAGAGAUGUUGCUGUAUAUCGCAGACCUAUGCAAAACAGGGGGUUCCCUGAAACCCUGCGGAAAGCAGCUCCUCAAAACCUGAAAUCGCUCAUGUGGACUUUGAAAAUCUAAUUGUAGAGCCAGACAUGAACUUGUGGAUUCCUGAGGAAGAGUUAAAGGCAGAAGCACUUGUCUCUUCCUGCCCAGUACCUGGUGACUUGCUGUGGUCACCAGCUUUGCCUGUGGGAUGUCCUCUAUAUAUUUCAGACACUUCAAAACCCUCUGCCAGCCUUUUUCAGUCCCUUUGGGUUGCACUUCUUUGGGGGCCACAAAUACUUCCCACUUCAGAUGGUGGUGGGAUUACAGCCCAUUAGAGGCUCUUUCCAUUUAAAUCAGGACUAGCUGCAUCAUUGCUUGUGAAAAGCACAUUCUGUGACCUCUAUCACACCAUCUAGGGCUCAGUCCCAAGACCAUGUGAUAGAGGGGACAGUUGAGGUGGCUCCUUUGCCUGGCACACAACCAGUGACCUUGUUAAACUUUUGAUGUGAGGACCUGGGAACAGCAUUUUCCCACACAUUUUCUGAAGCAAUCAUGGGCAGUGCUGUACAAGCAAAUGACCCUGGCUCAGGCCAUCCACACAGACCUGGAGCAUCUCCGUUCACAAUCACUACCAACUCAUUCCUGAGCUGAUGAAAUCAAGUUUGUUGUGAGGUUGUCCUGUGUCCAGGCUCUCCAGUGUCAGGAGAUGACUUGGUGUAGAUUCCUGGCUCUCUGCUAUCUGGCUUUCAUCUCUGUUUGAUUUUCAGGCAUACUCACUGGAUACAUCCAUGUGAGAAAACUAAGAUGUAGCUAUGGACACACUGUCAUGUAUGCAGCACACAAUAGUUGUGACCCCUUACCCCAGUCUGGCCUGUGCUGACCAGCACCCAUCCGUCAGUUCCUGGACAAGAUGUAAGAGUGAAGCUCAGGACCAUUCCAAGUACACAAUGCUGGGAAAAAGUUGUUGAAUCACAUGGGCAAGAAAGAACUGUUCUGUGCGAGGGAAAAACUCCAGAUAUAUUUAAUUCAUUGUUAUAUUUGUAGCAUUUGAAGCCACUUUCAUUUGAUCAAAGUUGUUUGGAAACUGCCUAGCAAAUCCCAAGGUCAUUUGGGAGAACUGGCAGGGAAAAAAAGGAGUGAAAAAGCAAAUAAACACAUUUGCCAGUAGCAGUUUUUGCUAAAUAGCUAGGCUGGGAAAAAAAAAAGGGAAGAAAACUUCCCUCCUGGCACUGGGUUGGGUCAAAAUAGGGCAACCACAGGCAACCACAAGCAUGUUCACGAUCUGCAAAAUGUGUAUGCAAGGAAAAGAAAGAUCCAGGAACGACGAGUUGAAGGAGAGUGAGAAAGUUGCUCCAGUGGAGCUGUUGAUGGAAAAAAGCUGUUCCUGGUGUGUCCCCACAUAGCAGAGUGCACUCACCGAGACAGCUGAAAUGGCUUUGGACUUUCUGUCAGAAGAGGAAACAUAAUUUUGCAAUGCAGUCCAGCCUGAAAGAGGAUGGAGGGGCAGGAGAAGGAGCCACGCCCUGCUCAACCUGGUGGUAAUACAGCCUGUGAGACAGAGAAAAUAGGGCAGUUCUGGAGAGCCAGACACUUUACAAGCCCAGCAGCUGCACAGUGCGUGGUGCCAUCUCGUUUGUACUGUAUUUCUGCAGUGGUUAUACCCAAGAGAGCUGUGGCAUGGGGGUGGCUUCCCUGUGCUCAGUGUCAGGCAUCCCAAAGGAGCAGAGAAACGUGGCCCCUGCUGGCAGACACUCACACCAGAGAGCAGAGACACCUUCACUCCCUUUCCGCUGGCAGAGGGAGGGAGGGAUAGGGAACCACGGCAUUCCCCCCUUCAAUGUCUCAGUGAGCUCAACAGCCUUGGAUGGGACCAAGGUAUGGGGACAUUUUCCUGCACCACUUCUGAACAACUGGAGACUCAUUUUCAUCCUGUUGAUUGUUCAUCACAUUGAUUGUUAGUGGGUUUGUAAUUUAAAUAUUAAAGGACAGCUUCAGAAUUAAGCAGACAGAAACCUUAGUCCUUUUUCAUUAAGAAAACAUCUGGAGGCUUUUUUGCCCUCCUGAACAAGGUUUGAAAAGACAAGUUAUCCUCAUAAAAUCUUACAAACGCCCACAGGACAAUUUUACUUUGAAGUAUCAAUGUGACAGGGCAAAAGCAGAACAAUCUGAUACUAAUGAUUUCAGUCACCAUCCUAAUGCUUCAUGUUUUAAAGAUCAUUUUGCAAUAAAGACAUCAUGAUUUUACAGUCACAUUAGAAUAAUAAACCAUAGCACUUACUGAGUA